rnacentral:rRNA from 1 species
UACGGAGGGUGCGAGCGUUGUCCGGAAUCACUGGGCGUAAAGGGCGCGUAGGUGGCUUUUCAAGCGCGCGGUGAAAGCCCGGGGCUCAACCCCGGGUCGGCCGUGCGGACUGGGAGGCUCGAGCACUGUAGGGGCGGGUGGAAUUCCGGGUGUAGCGGUGGAAUGCGUAGAGAUCCGGAAGAACACCUGAGGCGAAGGCGGCUUGCUGGGCAUGAUCUGACGCUGAGGCGCGAAAGCGUGGGGAGCGAACAGG